AAUGACAUGGGCGAAUUGCAGAUUGGGCAAGAAGCAACAUUGCAACUGGCGUUACAAAACGGCCAACAUAUCCGACGUGUGCGAGAGGAAGACGCACAACGCUGGGCUGGAUGGUACCAGAAUUUCCCGCCACCACAGUGAGCGAAGAUCUAGCUUGGGGGAGAUGCUCUCCCCCACUAAGGUAAGUAUUCUAUCCUAUUUAUUUUCAUGCAUUUUAUCAUUCUUACUUAAAAAAAAUAAAUAUUUAUUAGCAUCUCCCUUUAGCAUAUAUGCUUCAUGUAUGUUUAUAUCCCUCAUGGAAAUUAUGACUAGUUGCUUGUUAAUGUUUCUCUAGUGCCUAGUAUACAACUUAGUAUUUCUCUAAGUAUGGAUCACUUAGCUCACUUAAACUGCCAUGAACCUAAAAACUUUGUGGGUUGCAAGUGCUAGAACUAAGUCUAAGUUGUUGUGGGACAUGAGAUAGUAAGGCAAGAGCUACUAUAAUAUUUUUCUAAGCAUGCAUGAUUAUCAGAGAUUUAUUCUUAAAAUGAUCAAAACCUUAAUUGUUCCUCAAUGGUGAUGAAUUCCUACCACAGCCAUAUCUACUUUACAUAAUUGCAACCUUUCCACAUAAGCUAUUUGCUUUGUGUUGAGUGUCGUCAAGUCUUGUUGACCCUUGUUAAGAGACUUUUCAUGCUCCUAAGAUCAAGAUCACGUACACACCACAUAUAUAUAUGCUGCUUCUACACUGGAAGUACGCAACCACAUGUAUUUCGCAUCCACUAAAUAGGUUGCUCCAUACUCUAAAUGUUAGAACAUCUCUCUAAGCAUUAUUUGGUAAAUGAGACAUCAAAAGGCUAGGCAAAAUGAAAUAAAAAGAUGGACAUGUGCAAGUCCACAGAAAAAGAAAAUUGAGCACAUGAAAGCUCAUAUAUAUAUAUAUAUAUAUAAAAAAAAAUGCUAGCCAUGUCUCAAUACAUAGAGAGUCUAUCAAAUAAAGGAGCAACCUAGUCCACCAUAUAUCACACUUGCACAUCUUGAUCUGGGAGUAUGACACUUCUCUUCAAGGAUCCGAGCUUUGACUUCGCAAUACAUGCAAAGUAAGUAUGCUAUCUCCUUUCAUCCCUACCUUGAACUCCACAUAAGCCUUUUAGAAAUAGGAUGAAAUAGAGAAGGCAACUCUUACCAUAUGCCUUGGUGAGGAAUCAUACACCAUUUGAGUGACAUGAGAGAACCAUAAGAGGAACAUUUAAGCUUUCUUUUGAAAAUAUCACAAAACCUCUGAUAUGAAACUUGCUAAGAAUGAGAAAGUUAGUGCUCAAGUCAAACUGUUCUGUCUCUCAACCACAUAAGACAAAGGAAAAGCCAUAAGCCCCAUAAGGGACUAAGGUAAUAGGGGUAAGUUUACAUAGCUAAAUUUUUCAUGCAAAGAGAAGAACUUUGUUGUACACAUGGUACUCUUGAAAUGUGAACAUAGUAACAAUACCUGAUCCACCG
rnacentral:lncRNA from 1 species